AAUGUAGGAAAGAGUGGGCAACAGUGGGUCUGUAUGUCCCCAAUCUCCUGGGCUACACGCGGGGUACAAUGGGUAGGAGAAUGGGUUUCAACACCGAAAGGGGAAGGUAAUCUCCUAAACCCAUUCUCAUUUCUGAUUGAGGGGUGUAACCCUCCCUCAUGAAAAUGGAAUGCGUAUUAAUCUCGUGUCAUAAAAGCGCGGUGAAUACAUCCCUGCGCCUUGCACAAAAGCUUUAGUCU
rnacentral:rRNA from 1 species